rnacentral:rRNA from 1 species
ACGGGUGAGUAACGCGUGGGAACGUACCCUUUUCUACGGAAUAACGCAUGGAAACGUGUGCUAAUACCGUAUGUGCCCUUCGGGGGAAAGAUUUAUCGGAAAAGGAUCGGCCCGCGUUGGAUUAGCUAGCUGGUGGGGUAAAGGCCUACCAAGGCGACGAUCCAUAGCUGGUCUGAGAGGAUGAUCAGCCACAUUGGGACUGAGACACGGCCCAAACUCCUACGGGAGGCAGCAGUGGGGAAUAUUGGACAAUGGGCGCAAGCCUGAUCCAGCCAUGCCGCGUGAGUGAUGAAGGCCUUAGGGUUGUAAAGCUCUUUCACCGGUGAAGAUAAUGACGGUAACCGGAGAAGAAGCCCCGGCUAACUUCGUGCCAGCAGCCGCGGUAAUACGAAGGGGGCUAGCGUUGUUCGGAUUUACUGGGCGUAAAGCGCACGUAGGCGGAUCGAUCAGUCAGGGGUGAAAUCCCAGAGCUCAACUCUGGAACUGCCUUUGAUACUGUCGAUCUGGAGUAUGGAAGAGGUGAGUGGAAUUCCGAGUGUAGAGGUGAAAUUCGUAGA